rnacentral:rRNA from 1 species
GCUUAACACAUGCAAGUCGAGCGGAAAGGCCCUUCGGGGUACUCGAGCGGCGAACGGGUGAGUAACACGUGAGUAAUCUGCCCCUCACUUCGGGAUAGCCAGCCGAAAGGCUGAUUAAUACCGGAUACGACCGCCUUCUGCAUGGGAUGGUGGUGGAAAGUUUUUUCGGUGGGGGAUGUGCUCGCGGCCUAUCAGCUUGUUGGUGGGGUAAUGGCCUACCAAGGCUUCGACGGGUAGCCGGCCUGAGAGGGUGACCGGCCACACUGGGACUGAGACACGGCCCAAACUCCUACGGGAGGCAGCAGUGGGGAAUAUUGGACAAUGGGCGGAAGCCUGAUCCAACAACGCCGCGUGAGGGAUGACGGCCUUCGGGUUGUAAACCUCUUUCAGUGCAGACGAAGCGCAAGUGACGGUAUGCACAGAAGAAGGACCGGCCAACUACGUGCCAGCAGCCGC